UUGGAGGGCAAGUCUGGUGCCAGCAGCCGCGGUAAUUCCAGCUCCAAUAGCGUAUAUUAAAGUUGUUGCAGUUAAAAAGCUCGUAGUUGAAUUUCGGGGUCAGUAGGUUGGUCAUGCCACUGGUAUGUACUGGCCUCACUGAUUCCUCCUUCCUGAUGAGCCGUAAUGCCAUUAAUUUGGUGUUGCGAGGAAUCUGGACUGUUACUUUGAAAAAAUUAGAGUGUUUAAAGCAGGCUAACGCUUGAAUACAUUAGCAUGGAAUAAUGAAAUAGGACGUUCGAUCUUAUUUUGUUGGUUUCUAAGAUUGACGUAAUGAUUAAUAGGGAUAGUUGGGGGCAUUAGUAUUCAAUUGUCAGAGGUGAAAUUCUUGGAUUUAUUGAAGACUAACUACUGCGAAAGCAUUUGCCAAGGAUGUUUUCAUUAAUCAAGAACGAAAGUUAGGGGAUCGAAGACGAUCAGAUACCGUCGUAGUCUUAACCACAAACUAUGCCGACUAGGGAUCGGAUGAUGUUAAUUUUUUAAUGACUCAUUCGGCGCCUUACGGGAAAC
rnacentral:rRNA from 1 species